GAUGAAGAACGUAGCGAAAUGCGAUACUUGGUGUGAAUUGCAGAAUCCCGUGAACCAUCGAGUCUUUGAACGCAAGUUGCGCCCGAAGCCAUUAGGCCGAGGGCACGCCUGCCUGGGCGUCACACGUCGUUGCCCCCCCAUCUACUCCUUCGGGAUUGCGGGGGGCGGAUGAUGGCCUCCCGUGCGCCUCGCCGCGCGGUUGGCAUAAAUGCCAAGUCCUCGGCGACGCACGCCACGACAAUCGGUGGUUGCGAAACCUCGGUUGCCCGUCGUGUGCGGUCGUCGCGCAUCGAGGGCUCGAAAAAAUUGCCGGGUUCCGGCUCGGCUUUCAAUGCGACCCCAGGUCAGGCGGGGUUACCCGCUGAAUUUAAGCAUAUCAAUAAGCGGAGGA
rnacentral:misc_RNA from 1 species